AUCCAGUUGACGAGUCCCAAAUAGAACGAAACACGCGUCAAACUGGAU
rnacentral:hammerhead_ribozyme from 1 species